rnacentral:RNase_P_RNA from 1 species
CCUGUAAACCGUUCUAUCGCUCGGCAGCAAUGCAGGGAGGAAAGUCCGGAUAACACAGAGCACCGCAACACCUAACAGGUGUGUAUCCGCCUCGGCGGAUAACGGAACAGUGCCACAGAAAAUUACUACCCUGAAGUGACUGCGCCCAAGCGUAGUCUACUUCAGGGAAAAGGUGAAAACGCGAGGUAAAAGCUCACGGGUGCUGGUGGUAACAUCAGUAUCGGGUAAACCCUGCGGGUUACAAUGCCAAAUAUGCCGGAGUAAAAGAAAAGCUGCUCGUUUUAAUCUUCGGCGGGUAGGCAGCAAGAACCUGAUGGUGACAUCAGGACCAGAUAAAUGAUAGAAACUCAAACAGAAUCCGGCUUAUGAGUUUAUGGGAAUU